rnacentral:rRNA from 1 species
UAGGGAAUCUUCCGCAAUGGACGAAAGUCUGACGGAGCAACGCCGCGUGAGUGAAGAAGGAUUUCGGAUCGUAAAACUCUGUUGUUAGGGAAGAAAAAAUGUAUAGUAACUAUAUACAAAAGAGACGGUACCUAACCAGAAAGCCACGGCUAACUACGUGCCAGCAGCCGCGGUAAUACGUAGGUGGCAAGCGUUGUCCGGAAUUAUUGGGCGUAAAGCGCGCGCAGGUGGUUUAGAAAGUCUGAUGUGAAAGCCCACGGCUCAACCGUGGAGGGUCAUUGGAAACUAAUAAACUUGAGUGCAGGAGAGAAAAGUGGAAUUCCUAGUGUAGCGGUGAAAUGCGUAGAGAUUAGGAGGAACACCGGUGGCGAAAGCGGCUUUUUGGCCUGCAACUGACACUGAGGCGCGAAAGCGUGGGGAGCAAACAGG